GCCAGGCAUGGUGGCGUGUGCCUGUAAUCCCAGCUACUUGGGAGGCUGAGGCAGGAGAAUCACUUGAACCCAGGAGAUGGAGAUUGCAAUGAGAAGGGAUUGUGCCAUUGCACUCCAGCCUGGGCGACAAAGUGAGACUCUAUCUCGA
rnacentral:SRP_RNA from 1 species